rnacentral:rRNA from 1 species
CACAUGACUCUCGGCAACGGAUAUCUCGGCUCUCGCAUCGAUGAAGAACGUAGCGAAAUGCGAUACCUGGUGUGAAUUGCAGAAUCCCGCGAACCAUCGAGUCUUUGAACGCAAGUUGCGCCCGAGGCCAUUCGGUUGAGGGCACGCCUGCCUGGGCGUCACG